rnacentral:lncRNA from 1 species
GCAGUGGAGAUGUAAGUGAAACUGGCCAUACAUACUUUUUUAUGUAAGUAAAAUCAUGCCAGUUUCACUUACAGUAAGCAUGAUUUUACUUUUUUAUUUUUAAAAUAUUGUCAUUAUAUACUAAUUGUUUUUCUUUUUGUCUUUUUUUCUUUUUACCAGCAGUAACAACAUUAUAAUAUUAUCAAAGGUUGCAGUUUGAAAUCACAACUUUCUUUGGGAUUUAAAAUGGUGUUGGAUUUAAAUAUUUAUAUUAAUUUGUGUUUAUACUUUAUCAUAAAGUAAGAUUACACUAUCACAGAGAGUUAUCAGAAACACUGUAUGCAUUGUUUGUCAUAGGAGACCAUUUAUGAAGGACUUGGUCAUAGGUAUGUGAAGGAUGAAGUGCUCUGCUGAAAUAUUUAGCUCUUGCACAUUAAACCUAAAUAUAUCUUCAUGUGUUUAGAACACAUCAUUUAUUAUUUUUAGAACAAAUAAUAAAAAUGGAGAAGUAUCAAUGAGUCUAAAUUUUGAAUUCAAGUUUGUUUGAUGAAUGUUUUUGUGAGAAUUUGACUAACCAAAUUUCAAAAAAAUAAUUGCAUGACACUCACUAAAGAAAGUGCCUACAAUAAAAAUAAAAAAACGAAAUAGGUACAAGGAAACAGAGGUAGGAAUUUAAUGAGCAAGAAAGACUAGAUCCACCCAAAUGUGUGCAACAUAAUGAAGCAACCAUCAUCACUUUUGCUUUACAAAUCAAUGUCAAUUCUAUGGUUAGGCUACUUCUUGAAAUCCAAUGCUUCAUGUUGGGGGCUCUUGUUUGAUGACAAACAAAAGGGAAAAAAAAACACUGCCAACAACUUAUAAACCAUGACUCAUGAACUUCAUGACCUUUAUCAGAUUGAAUAUUUAUUUAUUUGUUUAUUUAUUUAUUUUUGCUUGGCAUAUGUGAAAAACACCAAAAUCUAGUGUUGCUGAUGUGUUUGAUAUGGUUCAACUACUCUGAAUUUGCCCUAAAUUUCUAUUAUUAAUAUCAAAGAGGCCCACCUUUACCACUGGAGAUAUGUGGCAAAAUUAAUGUACACCCAAUUUGGGUACAUACAAUACCAUACAAAUGUUAUAAUGCAAAAAAAAUAAAAAAUGUGACUUGUUGUUAAUAAUUAAACACAUCUUUUGAAUUUUCAUUAUGGAACAUGAAUUAUAAAAAAAGAAUCAGAUGUGAUUGUAUAAAGUAUUUAGCCAUAUUAGUUAAAUAAUUAACAUUUUGUAUGGGACUAAAAACCAAAAAUAAAUUCUAAGAUCUUAGUUUAGUCUAAAUCUAAGAGGAAUACAAUUUUUUUUAAGAACUUUAUUAUAGAACAUAAAAUUACUUGACUAUUAUUUUUUUAAAUUACACAUUGUUUUACAAAGUUACACAUUAUUUAGACAAAGUUCAAUUGACUUGUGAGGAGAAACACAUUCAAAUCUUAGCUAUGUAAAUUGCAUUUACCAUGUUUUUGGUUAUUUAAAUUCAUUUAUUUAUAGUUUAGAUAUUUGGUAUUAAUUUUUUAUAAUAAAAUAUGUAUUUAAAAUAAAUAGUAUGAAAAAAAUUAUGAAAUUUUUACUUCUUAGUAGAUAUCACCCAACAAGAAUUUAAUUCGAUGAAAUUCACAUCAAACUUCAUUUAAUCUAUUUGUAUAUUGGACUUCUUAAGUUGACUUUAUUAGGUGCAGUCAUGCUUACAUUAAUUGAAUAAAGGAUAAGUCACGUCUUAAGCAUUUUAAAGAAUUUUGUGUAAACUUUUUGUAUAUAAGAAAUAAAUUUAUCAUGAGAUUUUUUUCAAAUUAUAUAUAUGUUUUUAUUUUACAUUGUGAUAUUUAAUUGUUAUUAUGUUUUAGAUCUAUUUGUCUUUUUUGAAUUUUAAAUUAAAGUUAGAAAUUUUCUUGCUUAUAUAUAUAUAUAUAUAUAUAUACUAAGAAUCUGAAGUUGUCAUUAGUCUACAACGUCUUGUUAAAGAAAUUUCACAUAGAUAUUGAGACAUAUUUAAAUAAUAUUUUUAAUAUAGUUAAUUAAAAACAAAAAUAUUAUUUAAAUAUGUCUAAAUGAAAAUUUGACCCAAGCAUUUACUAAAUUAACUCACCUAUUCUUGCCAUCAUCAAAAAAUUCUCAACUGCCAGAUCUGCGUUGGUUGAAAACCAAUAAAAAAUUGGUUGGAGCUUCAACCAAUUAUAGUUGACUAACUUCUUAUAGAAAUUUAUUAAGUGUUAUAUAUAUAUAUAUAUAUAUAUAUAUAUAUAUAUUCAAUGUGCAUGUUUUGUUCCUGUGUACAAUCAUAGUUUCACAAUUGAUUUUCUCAUUAUUAAUUUUUUUGCUAUUUGUGAUUAAUAUUUAAUUAAUAUAAUAUUGUAUUUUGGUUAAUGACUUGAAAUAAUUCUCAUCGAUUUGCAUGAAUUUUUGUUUUUAAUCACAUAUCAUGUAUGCUUUGAUCAAUAUUGCAUUAAUAGAUAUCAUUUAAAAAAAAUGAGCUUGUUUAAAUAUAGAAAAAUAAUAACAUGAGCCUACAAAGUAAGUUUUAAAAAUUCAAUUUCAAAUAUUUGAAACAAAUAAUUUGGUACUCAACUUUUACCAAUGAAUUAAUUUGGUUGACAAAGCAUUGAAUCCUUCACUUUGUGGCAUCAAAUUGCCAAAUAUGCAUGAAGGAUUUAUGCAAUUUUGAUAUAUACGUAUAUAUACAAUCCUGAAAAGAAAGUAUGUUGAUUGAUAAUUGCUGCAUGGGUUUUUUUAAAAAAUUGGACACGUAAUAACAUUGGCUAUUUAGCAAAGCAUUUAUAAAUAAAAAUAUAGAUUUUUAAAUUUUUGUGGAAAGAAAUAUAUUGUAACAAAUUAAAAGAGAUUGUAAACCACAAUUUGCUGUUGUAUUUGUGUGUUUCUUUUAUAUAUUUAAGGUAUCCUUUAAAUAUCAAAUAUACAUAUAUAUAUAUAUAUAUAUAUAUGUGUAUCACAAAAUUAUAAAACUUCUAAAACAGUCUUUUACAAACCCCUCAAAUCACAAAACACAAUUCAUGUUUGUAAGAACCAUGUAAGUUUUUCUAAAUUCUCAAAGAUCAAUUUCCAAACACAAUCUUACUCAUUAUCAUCAUCAUUAUUGUUACUCUUAUCCUAAUUAUUUUUAUUCAUUACAUCCAGUUCUUCUACUUCCUCUCAUCCUAAAACAAAAAAAAAAUCACAAAACUGAAGCAAGAUCAAGGAUGGGUCGGUCAAAUGAAGAGAAACAAAAACAAAACAAAAGUGGCAAGACACAAAAGGAAGAAGAAGUGGCCGGAAUUGAAAAAAAAUAAAACAAAAACAA